rnacentral:lncRNA from 1 species
GUACCGAGCACCGUAGCGGCAAGGCGAAGAUCGCUAGCACUUGAAACGGCGAAGCGGCGCGCUCUUGGGGAGCAACUGUGAGAUCGGGCCCAAACGGGUGCCGAGUGCCGCGGGAGGCCGAUUGCAAGUGUCGACGAGCAAUCGGAAAAGCUAGCUAAGGUGGGUUGUGCUUACCGAAGCGACUAGGUCGCCCUUUAUGUCUUAGCAAUGU